UGGUGGAGUGAUUUGUCUGCUUAAUUGCGAUAACGAACGAGACCUUAACCUGCUAAAUAGUUACGUGAACCUUUGCGUUCGUGGACAACUUCUUAGAGGGACUUUUGUCGUGUUUUUAACCUAAAGGAAAGUUUGUAGGCAAUAACA
rnacentral:rRNA from 1 species